CCUACGGGUGGCAGCAGUGAGGAAUAUUUGUCAAUGGACGAGAGUCUGAACCAGCCAAGUCGCGUGAAGGAUGACUGCCCUAUGGUUUGUAAACUUCUUUUAUAAAGGAAUAAAACCAGGCACGUGUGCCUUUUUGAUUGUACCUUAUGAAUAAGCGUCGACUAACUCCGUGCCAGCAGCCGCGGUAAUACGGAGGAUCCGAGCGUUAUACGGAUUUAUUGGGUUUAACGGGAGCGUAGAUGGGUUGUUAAGUCAGUUGUGAAAGUUUGGGGCUCAACCGUAAAAUGGCACUUGAUACUGGUAGUCUUGAGUACAGUUGAGGUAGGCGGAAUUCGUGGUGUAGCGGUGAAAUGCUUAGAUAUCACGAAGAACCCCGAUUGCGAAGGCAGCUUACUAAACUGUGACUGACAUUGAGGCUCGAAAGUGUGGGUAUCAAACAGGAUUAGAUACCCGUGUAGUC
rnacentral:rRNA from 1 species